CCUACGGGAGGCAGCAGUGAGGAAUAUUGGUCAAUGGGCGCGAGCCUGAACCAGCCAAGUCGCGUGAGGGAAGACGGCCCUACGGGUUGUAAACCUCUUUUGCCGGGGAGCAACGGGCUCCACGUGUGGCGCCACUGAGAGUACCCGGAGAAAAAGCAUCGGCUAACUCCGUGCCGGCAGCCGCGGUAAUACGGAGGAUGCGAGCGUUAUCCGGAUUUAUUGGGUUUAAAGGGUGCGUAGGCGGAGUGUUAAGUCAGUGGUAAAAUUGGGGGGCUAAACCCCUUCCCGCCAUUGAAACUGGCGCUCUUGAGUGGAAGAGAGGUAGGCGGAAUGCGUGGUGUAGCGGUGAAAUGCAUAGAUAUCACGCAGAACUCCGAUUGCGAAGGCAGCAUGCCGGCGUCCUACUGACGCUGAAGCACGAAAGCGUGGAGAUCGAACAGGAUUAGAUACCCGUGUAGUC
rnacentral:rRNA from 1 species